rnacentral:lncRNA from 1 species
UAAAAUGCAAAAUCACAAUCAAUUGAAAAUUUCAAUGUGAAAUUCCAUUAAAUUCUCCACAAGAUUUAUAUUCGAGAAGAUGCGGCCCGAAAUUCGUUAACCCUAAUAGUAUGAAUUUAGCUUCAAGAAUUGGUUAGUCUUGUUUUCAUGAAUUUAGUUUUUUUCCGUCUAUGGUUUUCCGUCUUUGGACUUUUUUUUGGCUCAUGCAGGCCCGAAUACAUUUAUUUUGUUAUUAUUUUUUUUUUUACUAAUGUUUUCUAGUGUAAAUGGAAUAUAGCAUUUCACCAAUUAUUUUUUUCGGAUUUAGUGAACUUUAUAUGCUUCAAUAUUUUCUAGGAUACGAAAUUUU